AGUGAACGCUGGCGGUAGGCCUAACACAUGCAAGUCGAACGGCAGCACAGUAAGAGCUUGCUCUUACGGGUGGCGAGUGGCGGACGGGUGAGGAAUACAUCGGAAUCUACUUUUUCGUGGGGGAUAACGUAGGGAAACUUACGCUAAUACCGCAUACGACCUACGGGUGAAAGCAGGGGAUCUUCGGACCUUGCGCGAUUGAAUGAGCCGAUGUCGGAUUAGCUAGUUGGCGGGGUAAAGGCCCACCAAGGCGACGAUCCGUAGCUGGUCUGAGAGGAUGAUAGCCCACACGGGAGCUGAGACACGGUCCAGACGCCUACGGGAGGGAGCAGUGGCGAAUAUUGGACAAUGGUCGCAAGCAUGAUCCAGCCAUACCGCGUGGGUGGAGGAGGCCUUGGGGUUGUAAAGCCCUUUUGUUGGGAAAGAAAAGCAGCAGGUUAAUACCCCGCUGUUCUGACGGUACCCAGAGAAUAAGCACCGGCUAACUUCGUG
rnacentral:rRNA from 1 species